GAAGCAAUAUUCGGUGCUAAUCGA
rnacentral:siRNA from 1 species